GUGCUCGCUUCAGCAGCACAUACGCUAAAAUUGGAAUGAUACAGAGAAGAUUAGCAUGGCCCUUGUGCAGGAAUGAUAUGCAAAUUUGUGAAGCAUUCCAUAUUUUU
rnacentral:snRNA from 1 species